rnacentral:rRNA from 1 species
GAGCAACCUGCCCCUGACUCUGGGAUAAGCGGUGGAAACGCCGUCUAAUACCGGAUACGACCUUCCGCCUCAUGGUGGAGGGUGGAAAGUUUUUUCGGUCAGGGAUGGGCUCGCGGCCUAUCAGCUUGUUGGUGGGGUAACGGCCUACCAAGGCGAUUACGGGUAGCCGGCCUGAGAGGGCGACCGGCCACACUGGGACUGAGACACGGCCCAGACUCCUGCGGGAGGCAGCAGUGGGGAAUAUUGCGCAAUGGGCGAAAGCCUGACGCAGCGACGCCGCGUGGGGGAUGACGGCCUUCGGGUUGUAAACCUCUUUUACCACCAACGCAGGCUCCGGGUUCUCUCGGGGUUGACGGUAGGUGGGGAAUAAGGACCGGCUAACUACGUGCCAGCAGCCGCGGUAAUACGUAGGGUCCCGAGCGUUGUCCCGGAAUUAUUGGGCGUAAAGAGCUCGUAGGCGGCGUGUCGCGUCUGCUGUGAAAGACCGGGGCUUAACUCUGGUUCUGCAGUGGAUACGGGCAUGCUAGAGGUAGGUAGGGGAGACUGGAAUUCCUGGUGUAGCGGUGAAAUGCGCAGAUAUCAGGAGGAACACCGGUGGCGAAGGCGGGUCUCUGGGCCUUACCUGACGCUGAGGAGCGAAAGCAUGGGGAGCGAACAGGAUUAGAUACCCUGGUAGUCCAUGCCGUAAACGUUGGGCGCUAGGUGUGGGGACUUUCCACGGUUUCCGCGCCGUAGCUAACGCAUUAAGCGCCCCGCCUGGGGAGUACGGCCGCAAGGCUAAAACUCAAAGGAAUUGACGGGGGCCCGCACAAGCGGCGGAGCAUGUUGCUUAAUUCGACGCAACGCGAAGAACCUUACCAAGGUUUGACAUCACCCGUGGACCUGUAGAGAUACAGGGUCAUUUAGUUGGUGGGUGACAGGUGGUGCAUGGCUGUCGUCAGCUCGUGUCGUGAGAUGUUGGGUUAAGUCCCGCAACGAGCGCAACCCUUGUUCCAUGUUGCCAGCACGUAAUGGUGGGGACUCAUGGGAGACUGCCGGGGUCAACUCGGAGGAAGGUGGGGACGACGUCAAGUCAUCAUGCCCCUUAUGUCUUGGGCUGCAAACAUGCUACAAUGGCCGGUACAAUGGGCGUGCGAUACCGUAAGGUGGAGCGAAUCCCUUAAAGCCGGUCUCAGUUCGGAUUGGGGUCUGCAACUCGACCCCAUGAAGGUGGAGUCGCUAGUAAUCGCGGAUCAGCAACGCCGCGGUGAAUACGUUCCCGGGCCUGGUACACACCGCCCGUCACGUCAUGAAAGU